UUAUUGCUCUUGUUGUUGAGUUUGUUGUUCGAUUAACUGAAUCUUUUCUGAAAAAUAAUAAGUAAAAUUGGAAAAGCUCUCGAUACGCGAACUCCGAUUAUUAUAUAAACUGUCUUGCAACAAAUUCAGAUAAAUGGAAUUCUGCUGCAGCCGGUAGUUAUAGAUAUGAUAUUAUUAAUUUUCGAAUUCCUAUCUUAGUGACUUAGUCGUUAACCGUGUACGUUUGUGUCAAGCAACUCUAGUUUCUUUUUAACAGAAGACAACCAUCAAUUGUAAAAGUAUUCGCGCGGAGAGGUACAAGCUUGGUUUGAAUGAUCGACGGAUAAAUUAGCAACGACAUCGAUUAAACUUGACAACGUAUCUGACAAGUACAAAACGUGGUAAUUAACGAGUAGAGAUACUUUACGCGUGAAUUAUCGGGUGCUAAAUGCAGGCUAGGCGAUUUAUCCAGACGCAGUUUUACAACGUACGUAUCUACAUGUUGAUCGGUAAACCUGUCCUGCGUUCAAGACACUGAAAAAUAAUAUAGAACGAAAUGUGCUCCGCAUUAUAAGGGCUCUGACUGCUGCGAUAAUUGCUCUUCGGCGAGCUCAGUCGAUCACGGUACGUUGAAAAACGACCAUUCUUCAAGCGCUAAUAUAUACGAUAUCCUUAAAGGGCAUCUUUCUUGGCUUUCUGGAAUGCUAACGAGCUCGGAAUGGAAGUUUUUAUAUAAAACUAUAUAUAAUCGUACAUACUUAGAUAUCUGAUAAUUAAUAGCGAAGUAUAUUGUAAGUCUUGAAGAUUCCAUACGAAUAUGAAAAAGUCCAUUUCUCUUGAUUUUUUUUUACUUUUAUGUCAUUUCAGUGGCUAGAAAAGGAGUACUUUAAUAUGAAAUAGUCGAAGAAAGGAAUAAUCCCAUAGAUUCGAAGAUAUAAGUGGUAGACUUACAAUAUCUUGUGAGAAACGAAUAAUUUCUAGAUCGAAUGCAAAGAUAGUUGUGAUGCGAAGACGUUUGUGGAAUCUCUCUUCUAUCAAAGACAAGAAAUACGAUUUGUCGUGCUUUUCUGUGGUUCGCACGUUUAACGUUUAAAAUCGCCACGGCGAAACGUAAUGAGAAAAGAAUCCUUAGAAGGAAGAAAACGAAUAAACGUGAGAUUUUUCAUGAAAUUUAAUCUAGACAGUAACCUUGAUAUUCGUGUACUUUUACUUAAACCAGCUUGCUUGAUAACUGCAUGACGAAUCGUCGGACAUGGGGGACACGCGUAUAACAAUAUGAACCGCAAAAUCGAAAUUUAUGCGAACACCGUGCGCUGAUUCACUCGAGGACAAAGACACGCGCCGCUACGUGAAUCUUCGCGAUGGUGUUUAGUCAUUAAAAAUGCGACGCUCGUAGGUGGAAGCGACCGCAAGGAGGACAAUGUUUGCUAGCCAGUCUUCAACUACCACUCUUCCGAUACAACAAAUAUCAAUGACAAUACCUUCGAUGACAAGCCAUUUAUCGUACAUUUCAGCGGUCUCGUACUCUUUUACGCACUUUACAACUGAACAACUUUACAGCUGAAUUCGAACAGAUUCGCAACAUUUUCAAGAAUUCGUUAGUUUCUAAUACGGGUUUAGACGAGAUAAAAAUUGUAAAAUAUAAUAUCGAACGAUACUAAAAAUAUAUAUAUAAGUCAAUCGAUGGAUGUUUAACGAGAAUCAAACUGCUUUACAACUGAACAACUUUACAACUGAAUUCGACCAGAUUCGCAACAUUUUCAAGAAUUCGUUGGUUUCUAAUACGGGUUUAGACGAGAUAAAAAUUGUAAAAUAUAAUAUCGAACGAUACUAAAAAUAUAUAUAUAAGUCAAUCGAUGGAUGUUUAACGAGAAUCAAACUGCUUUACAACUGAACAACUUUACAACUGAAUUCGACCAGAUUCGCAACAUUUUCAAGAAUUCGUUGGUUUCUAAUACGGGUUUAGACGAGAUAAAAAUUGUAAAAUAUAAUAUCGAACGAUACUAGAAAUAUAUAUAUAAGUCAAUCGAUGGAUGUUUAACGAGAAUCAAACUGCUUUAACGACUACUUAAUAGACCGAAUAUUACAUCGUCUUCUUUUUUUUAGUUUAUCACCGAGAAGCGCGUUCCAGUGGUAGUAAAUUAUGGUCGCACGCAUAUAGAGAUGUAAUUUUCUGCGGAUAAUAACGGACCCGUGUAAAUUACAGGGAAGACGCAAACCCGUGAAAAAGUUGAAAUUUACAUUCCGAAAGCAACGUGUCUCGAAAACUCGACAACCGCGACCUAGAACAUCGAUCAUUUUCUUCGUCGCGAGAAAACAACCAUAUUUUUAUCUGAUAAAAAAAUAUACAUCUCGUAAUCUCGUUAUAACGUAUAUCUAAUAAGAAUCAAAGAAAUUUAAUCAAGAAAACGG